CUCAUGUUCUGCACCUCAGGAGGGAAUUCAGCCUCAGUGAUGUCCAUGAGGCCUGUCCCAGGCUCUCUAUCUUCUCUGCUACAUCUCCACAACAGACAGAGACAGCCCAUGCCAGCCUCCAUGCCUGGGACCCUGCCCAACCCUACAAUGCCAGGAUCUUCCGCCGUCUUGAUGCCAAUGGAGCGACAAAUGUCAGUGAACUCCAGCAUCAUGGGGAUGCAAGGUCCAAAUCUCAGCAACCCCUGUGCUUCUCCCCAGGUCCAGCCAAUGCAUUCAGAAGCCAAAAUGAGGUUGAAGGCUGCAUUGACUCACCACCCUGCUGCCAUGUCAAAUGGGAACAUGAACACCAUGGGACACAUGAUGGAGAUGAUGGGCUCCCGGCAGGACCAGACGCCACACCAUCACAUGCACUCGCACCCGCAUCAGCACCAGACACUGCCACCCCAUCACCCUUACCCACACCAGCACCAGCACCCAGCACACCAUCCUCACCCUCAACCCCAUCACCAGCAGAACCAUCCACAUCACCACUCCCACUCCCACCUUCAUGCACACCCAGCACAUCACCAGACCUCGCCACAUCCGCCCCUGCACACCGGCAACCAAGCACAGGUAGACCUUUUCCGUGAUCUCUUUCCCCUUCUUAUUCUCCUUCUUAACAGUGCAAGCUCUAAUGCUGGGGUCAUUUGCAGCAAUCUUGUUUGACAAGCCCAGGUGUUCUAUCUCACAUUCUAGGGGCUCUGUUU
rnacentral:lncRNA from 1 species